CAAUAGCGUAUAUUAAAGUUGUUGCAGUUAAAAAGCUCGUAGUUGGAUUUCUGGCAGGAGCGACCGGUCACACACUCUGUGUGUGAACUUGCGUUGUCUCUGGCCAUCCUUGGGAAGAUCCUGUUUGGCAUUAAGUUGUCGGGCAGGGGAUACCCAUCGUUUACUGUGAAAAAAUUAGAGUGUUUAAAGCAGGCUUAUGCCGUUGAAUAUAUUAGCAUGGAAUAAUAAGAUAGGACUUCGGAACUAUUUUGUUGGUUUGCGUUACGAAGUAAUGAUUAAUAGGGACAGUUGGGGGUAUUCGUAUUUCGUUGUCAGAGGUGAAAUUCUUGGAUUUCCGAAAGACGAACUACUGCGAAAGCAUCUACCAAGGAUGUUUUCAUUAA
rnacentral:rRNA from 1 species